UACGUAGGGGGCAAGCGUUGUCGGGAUUCAUUGGGCGUAAAGCGCACGUAGGCGGCUUUGUAAGUUAGAGGUGAAAGCCUGGAGCUCAACUCCAGAACUGCCUUUGAUACUGCAUGGCUUGAAUCCAGGAGAGGUGAGUGGAAUUCCGAGUGUAGAGGUGAAAUUCGUAGAUAUUCGGAAGAACACCAGUGGCGAAGGCGGCUCACUGGACUGGUAUUGACGCUGAGGUGCGAAAGCGUGGGGAGCAAACAGG
rnacentral:rRNA from 1 species